AUUGAACGCUGGCGGCAGGCUUAACACAUGCAAGUCGAGCGAGCGGCGGACGGGUGCGUAAUGUCUGGGAAACUGCCUGAUGGAGGGGGAUAACUACUGGAAACGGUAGCUAAUACCGCAUACCAUCAGAUGUGCCCAGAUGGGAUUAUCUAGUAGGUGGGGUAAUGGCUCACCUAGGCGACGAUCCCUAGCUGGUCUGAGAGGAUGACCAGCCACACUGGAACGGAGACACGGCCCAGACUCCUACGGGAGGCAGCAGUGGGGAAUAUUUGACAAUGGGCGAAAGCCUGAUGCAGCCAUGCCGCGUGUGUGAAGAAGGUUUUCGGGUUGUAAAGCACUGUCAGCGGGGAGGCGUUACUCGCAGAAGAAGCAACGGCUAACUCCGUGCCAGCAGCCGCGGUAAUAC
rnacentral:rRNA from 1 species